CAGCAGCCGCGGGAAUACGUAGGGUGCAAGCGUUAAUCGGAAUUACUGGGCGUAAAGCGUGCGCAGGCGGUUAUAUAAGACAGAUGUGAAAUCCCCGGGCUCAACCUGGGAACUGCAUUUGUGACUGUAUAGCUAGAGUACGGCAGAGGGGGAUGGAAUUCCGCGUGUAGCAGUGAAAUGCGUAGAUAUGCGGAGGAACACCGAUGGCGAAGGCAAUCCCCUGGGCCUGUACUGACGCUCAUGCACGAAAGCGUGGGGAGCAAACAGGAUUAGAUACCCCCGUAGUCCCUGUCUCUUAUAA
rnacentral:rRNA from 1 species